GCAGGUCGAUGGAGUAGUAGAUGACGUCGAGGCGGACGAACGAGUAGGCGGCGGCGGCGACCGCCGGCACGCAGAGCAUCGGCAGCACCGACGUGGGGCUGCCUCCGUGUCGGAUCCCGAGCCUGACGUACUUGAGCUUGAUGCUGCGGGCGAAGUCCGGGAGCCGGCGGCGGAUCUUGAUGACGAUGCUGGGCGCCGGCUCGCCGCCGUCCCGCCGCGCUUCGUCCGCGCCGCGGAAGGCCAUCUCGGCUGUGAGGCGCUCCCGCUCCAUGACCGCGGCGGGAGCAGACUCCAUGGAGA
rnacentral:misc_RNA from 1 species